CGGCCGCGUCGACGGCAGAGGGAAUUCCUGGUGUAGCGGUGAAAUGCGUAGAGGGAAUGGUGAAAAGUACCCGGACGGGAGGUGGAAUAGUAACUGAACCAUACUGCUACAACCUUAGGAACGUCGCUUCUGGGUUGACGGAGCGUGCCUUUUGACGUUAAUAGAAGCUGCGAGUUAGUGUAUACGUGCGAGGUUAACCGUGUUACGGGAGCGGAGCGAAAGCGAAGUCUGAAUAGGGACGAGUUGAGUUCGCGUGUCCUAGUCUGGGAGCGAAGGCAAGCAGGGAUAGGG
rnacentral:rRNA from 1 species